CGGGCGAGUGCGGUUCCUUUUGUGUGUGUGGGUGCGUGGCGUCGCGGUUAGUGUAGUGAGUGUGUUGAUCCUAUUGAAUGCGUCUUCCUCGCGUUGGAUUUGGUGAGUACCCGUAUCACAGGUCACACCGUGGGACUGACACCGCUGGAGCAACCCUUCGGAAUAAAGUAAAGUACAAAUUACGGUUUGCUAGGCGUUAGAUGUUAGGCAUAGGGCGAUAGGCGGCGCGGCUAACCAUUCUCUUCCAGGUACAAACUAACCUUCUCUUCCAGGUACAUGUUAAUUAUCUAGUCUUCCCCAGUAAUGCCCUGGUUAGCGCACCGUGGCGGCGAUCCAAGAGCCUCGUACUGGUGGCGGUGGUGGUGGCGUGGCUGGCUGGCUGGCUGGCUGGCUGUGGCGGGCGUGCACGUGCUAUAUCAUAUGGGUUGCGUGGUAGAUGCGUUCACUGGUCUGGGCUGUGUUGGUGCGUGCUCUGAAGAGAUGACCGCAGACACGCUGGCUGCUGAUGACUAGACCCUCACAGAGGCAGUGUACUGUACAAGCUGGAUGGAAGUAUGCAAACCUCGCAAUGAAGAUGGAAAAGGUGAGGAAAUGGUUCUAUCUUGACUUUUGGCUAAAAUAAGCGUCUUGGGUGUGUGUGUGUGUGUGUUUCACUGUUUGAUCUGCUGCUGUCUCUGACGAGACAGCCAGACGUUACCCUACGGAAUGAGCUCAG